rnacentral:rRNA from 1 species
GACGUAGGGGGCAAGCGUUGUUCGGAAUUAUUGGGCGUAAAGCGUGCGUAGGUGGAUUCGUAAGUCGGGGUUGAAAUAUCCGGGCUCAACUCGGGGACCGGCCUCGAUACUGCGGAUCUCGAGUCAAGAAGAGGGUAGUAGAAUUCCCGGUGUAGCGGUGAAAUGCGUAGAUAUCGGGAGGAAUACCAGUGGCGAAGGCGGCUACCUGGUCUUGCACUGACGCUGAGGCACGAAAGCUGGGGAAGCAAACGG